AAUAGAUACCCGGGUAGUCCACGCCGUAAACGAUGAGUGCUAAGUGUUGGGGGGUUUCCGCCCCUCAGUGCUGCAGCUAACGCAUUAAGCACUCCGCCUGGGGAGUACGGUCGCAAGACUGAAACUCAAAGGAAUUGACGGGGGCCCGCACAAGCGGUGGAGCAUGUGGUUUAAUUCGAAGCAACGCGAAGAACCUUACCAAGUCUUGACAUCCCGGUGACCACUAUGGAGACAUAGUUUCCCCUUCGGGGGCAACGGUGACAGGUGGUGCAUGGUUGUCGUCAGCUCGUGUCGUGAGAUGUUGGGUUAAGUCCCGCAACGAGCGCAACCCUUAUUCUUAGUUGCCAUCAUUCAGUUGGGCACUCUAAGGAGACUGCCGGUGAUAAACCGGAGGAAGGUGGGGAUGACGUCAAAUCAUCAUGCCCCUUAUGACCUGGGCUACACACGUGCUACAAUGGACGGUACAAACGGUUGCCAACCCGCGAGGGGGAGCUAAUCCGAUAAAACCGUUCUCAGUUCGGAUUGUAGGCUGCAACUCGCCUACA
rnacentral:rRNA from 1 species